CAGCAGCCGCGGGAAUACGAUGGGGGCGAGCGUUGUUCGGAAUUAUUGGGCGUAAAUGGUGCGUAGGCGGUUUGGUAAGUCUGAUGUGAAAUCUAUGGGCUCAACUCAUAGUCUGCAUCGGAAACUUCCGGGCUUGAGUAUGGGAGAUGUGAGUGGAAUUCCUGGUGUAGCGGUGAAAUGCGUAGAUAUCAGGAGGAACACCUGUGGCGAAAGCGGCUCACUGGACCAUAACUGACGCUGAUGCACGAAAGCUAGGGGAGCAAACAGGAUUAGAUACCCCGGUAGUCCCUGUCUCUUAUAC
rnacentral:rRNA from 1 species